GACGAACGCUGGCGGCGUGCUUAACACAUGCAAGUCGUACGGUAAGGCCCUUUCUGGGGUACCCGCGUGGCGCACGGGUGAGUAACACGUGAGUAACCUGCCCCCAACUUUGGGAUAACGCUAGGAAACUGGUGCUAAUACUGGAUAUGUGCUUCUGCUGCAUGGCGGGGGUUGGAAAGCUCCGGCGGUUGUGGAUGGACUCGCGGCCUAUCAGCUUGUUGGUGGGGUAGUGGCCUACCAAGGCGGCGACGGGUAGCCGGACUGAGAGGGUGACCGGCCACCUUGGGACUGAGAGACGGCACAGACGGCUAAGGGAGGCAGCAGUGGGGAAUAUUGCACAAUGGGCGCAAGCCGGAUGCAGAAACGCCGCGUGCGGGAUGACGGCCUUCGGGUUGUAAACCGCUUUCAGCAGGGACGAAGCUUUUUGUGACGGUACCUGCAGAAGAAGCACCGGCUAACUACGUG
rnacentral:rRNA from 1 species